AUCCUGGCUCAGAUUGAACGCUGGCGGCAGGCCUAACACAUGCAAGUCGAGCGGUAGCACAGAGAGCUUGCUCUCGGGUGACGAGCGGCGGACGGGUGAGUAAUGUCUGGGAAACUGCCUGAUGGAGGGGGAUAACUACUGGAAACGGUAGCUAAUACCGCAUAAUGUCGCAAGACCAAAGUGGGGGACCUUCGGGCCUCAUGCCAUCAGGUGUGCCCAGAUGGGAUUAGCUAGUAGGUGGGGUAACGGCUCACCUAGGCGACGAUCCCUAGCUGGUCUGAGAGGAUGACCAGCCACACUGGAACUGAGACACGGUCCAGACUCCUACGGGAGGCAGCAGUGGGGAAUAUUGCACAAUGGGCGCAAGCCUGAUGCAGCCAUGCCGCGUGUGUGAAGAAGGCCUUCGGGUUGUAAAGCACUUUCAGCGGGGAGGAAGGCGAUAAGGUUAAUAACCUUGUUGAUUGACGUUACCCGCAGAAGAAGCACCGGCUAACUCCGUGCCAGCAGCCGCGGUAAUACGGAGGGUGCAAGCGUUAAUCGGAAUUACUGGGCGUAAAGCGCACGCAGGCGGUCUGUCAAGUCGGAUGUGAAAUCCCCGGGCUCAACCUGGGAACUGCAUUCGAAACUGGCAGGCUAGAGACUUGUAGAGGGGGGUAGAAUUCCAGGUGUAGCGGUGAAAUGCGUAGAGAUCUGGAGGAAUACCGGUGGCGAAGGCGGCCCCCUGGACAAAGACUGAC
rnacentral:rRNA from 1 species